ensembl:lincRNA
GUAUUUCCUAGAGUUAAAAGGGGUAGGCAAAGAAACAUAUAAAUCUAAAGCCCUCGAUACACAAUGCCCUUGGCACAAAGUAAGUGCUUAAUAAAUGGGAGUUGUUUAUAUCGUUGUUAUAAAUUUAACUGUAGAAAAACAAGAAAGUCCAGGUAAAACAAAAAGACAAUCAGGAAAAUCAUUGCUUUUUUUUUUUUUUUUUUGGAGACAGGGUCUUACUCUGUCACCCAGGCUAGAGUGCAGUGGUGUGAGGCUCACUGCAGCCUUGAACUCCCAGGCUCAAGUGAUCUUCCUAUCUCAGCCUCCCAAGUGGCUGAGACCACAGGCACGCACCAUCAUGUCUGACUUUUUUUAAUUAUUAUUUUUUGUAGAGACAAGGCCUCACUAUAUUGCCCAGGCUGGUCUCAAACAAUCUUCAUGUCUUGGUCUCCCAAAGUUGUGGGAUUACAGGUGUGAGCCACCAUGCCUGGCCCAGGCUAUUCUCAAUCUCACCUUUUCGAGUCCCAAGGCCUUGGGCUCAUUGUGGGCUCCAGGAGUCUCCAAGAAGAUCUAUCAGUGCCUUUCCGAGUGGAAGCUUUUUCUGCUGAAUCCGUGAGGGAUGGGAGAGGAGGGCCGGUCGUGUCUGAAUCACUGCUGCUGGCUGCCCCUGAGGAACAGCCCCGGAUUUCUCAAGGAAUCACCCCCAGCCCUCCUUGGAGGCCUACUGCCCCUCACUCUGAGCCCUGCCAGCCCUGGUCCCAGUUCUCCCCCAAAAUCCACCCUCCAUGUUAUUUAUUGAUUUUUCUGGAUUUACUUUUCCCAUCAGUUUGAAAUACACCUCGAAGCCCCAUUGCAUCCAACUCACCAAGCUGGACUUGCCGGGUCAGUGAUGAAUAUGCCAGUUAGACCAGUGUCUAUGCAGGAGGACCCAAGGAAACGGCCGAAUCAAAACCCAAACAUGGAACCAAUAAAAUCCUUCACCUGACACUACAAACUUCCCACAGACUUCAGAGAAAUACCUCAAGAAGGGCACGACCUUUUAGUUUCUCCCCAAGGCUACCCAAGACCUCCAGCGGGGUCUUUCUCAAAUACAGAUUUGACCUCGUCACUUCCCGGCUUCAAAAACGCUUCAAUAGCCCCUCAGUAUUUAUUAUUCUUAUUCACUAACAUUUAUCGAGGUCCUCUGCUCGCUGGAUCCUGCGUUGAAUGCCUUUCGUGCAUUUGUUCCUGUGGGGCAGGGACCACUGCCCUCCCAGUGUCAGGGAUGAGGGAAUGGCGAGGUGGGAACACUGUUCAGGGUCACACAGCUGGCGAGUGGGAUGCAAACCCAGGUUGGUCUGGAUCUGAAGCUCAUCCGCCUUCCACCUAUCUGCUGCCUGGCCAAGAUGCCUCAGCCUGCCCUUGGGGAUCCCCCACGACCUGGGACUGAUGUCCCCCAGCCUCACCUCACAUCAUGCCUCUUUCUGCCUUGUCUAGGUUGACCCUCUCGCUCAUCGCUUCUGCCCUUCAGUCUCAAUGUGGAAGGUCCACCAUCCCCAGUGGCCUUCAGACCUCAACCCGAUGUCCUCCACAGGGACCUCCCUGCCUCCGGUAAUCUGACUCAGACUUGAACUUCUGAAUCACAGCAGCUCUUCACGUCUCCCAUUGUGAAAUGAAAACCCUCCCUGGACCCCAAGCCUCCUGCUAGUUACCGUCUUCCAUCUCUCCAUUUCCUGGCAAGCCUUUAAAAGACGGGUGUAUGGCCCCUGCACUUGUCCACUCCUCAUCGCCCCCACCUCUCAGCAGCUUACUACCAUCUCUCACCUGAAACGGCGGCUGGCUCGGCUGCCCCCACCCUGUGGGUUGUCUGGUACUUUUGCCAGGCUUUUUGGCUUCAUCCUACACCCUUAACGUUCCCCUUCCCUGGCUCACCACCUACCCCCUGGCUCCUCCUUCUCCAGCUACAUUUUGGCAUUUCUUCUUUUCUGUGUCCCCAUACUGGUGUACCCCAGCAUUCCAACCCAACCUCCAUGGUCAGCUGCCUCCUGGUGUCCUCACUGGGACACUCCCCAGACCACGGCGGCCUUCUCCCCAUCAGGCCUCCUCAUGGGCCCCCAUCUCCCUGGGAGGCAUCACCAUCAGCCACCAGCCAGGUGUGACGCCCAGUCGUGCUACAGACUUCCUCUUCUUCUCAUUCUCCACUCCUCCUUCUGCAAGUCCAGUGCCAAGUCCUGUCCAUUCUACCUGUGUAUCUUGGGACCCCCCUCGUCGGCACCCCCAUUCUGGCUGCCAUAUUCUCUUACUCCUCUCUGGUCUCCCAUCUCUAACCAUCCCCCUUCCAAGUUCUGCUCCCUGCUGGGCACAGAGUGACCUUUCUCAAAAGCAAGUGUGAUCUUGGCAUGUCCCUUCUGUGGCUCCUUGUCGCUCUCACAAAAAAAACCCCACCUCAAUAAAGCCCAUUGUAAUCUGGCCCCUGCCAUUUCUCAGUCCUACUUUCUCACUGUGGCAUCUUGGAUUGGUUCAUUAAUCUCUCUUUCCAGUCUCUGAUGCUCCAUAGCAGAAUGAGCUACUGGCACUCCAGGCUUUCAUGCCUUCUGCUUUUUUUUUUUUUUUUUUUGACAGAGUCUUGCUCUGUUGCUCUGGCUGGAGUGCAGUGGUGCAAUCUCGGCUCAGUGCAACCUCCACCUCUUGGGUUCAAGUGAUCUCCUGCCUCAGCCUCCUGAGUAGCCAGGUUUACAGGCAUGCACCACUGUGCCCGCUGAUUUUUGCAUUUUUAGUAGAGAUGGGUUUUAACCAUAUUGGCCAGGCUGAUCUUGAACUCCUGACCUUAAGUGAUCCACACCUCGGUUUCCCAAAGUGCUGGGAUUACAGGCAUAAGCCACCGCACCUGGCCUUCAUGCCUAGUGCUUUUAUGUGAGCCUCUCCUUCUGUCUCCAAUACCCUUCCUCUCUGGCCCUCCAGGCUGACUGCUGUCCUUCCUCAAGUCUUCAUGCAAAUGCCACCUGCCCUUGAUUCCCCCUGGAAGACUUAGGGUCCCUUCUCCUGCGGUCCUUUCAGAGCUUAUACAGGCACCCAUUAAAGUGAGU